rnacentral:misc_RNA from 1 species
GAUAAAGAACGUAGCGAAAUGCGAUACGUAAUGUGAAUUGCAAAUUCAGUGAAUCAUCGAGUCUUUGAACGCACAUUGCGCCCCCUGGUAUUCCGGGGGGCAUGCCUGUCCGAGCGUCAUUGCUGCCCUCAAGCACGGCUUGUGUGUUGGGCCCCGUCCUCCGAUCCCGGGGGACGGGCCCGAAAGGCAGCGGCGGCACCGCGUCCGGUCCUCGAGCGUAUGGGGCUUUGUCACCCGCUCUGUAGGCCCGGCCGGCGCUUGCCGAUCAACCCAAAUUUUUAUCCAGGUUGACCUCGGAUCAGGUAGGGAUACCCGCUGAACUUAAGCAUAUCAAUAAGCGGAGGA